UACGAAGGGGGCUAGUGUUGUUCGGAUUUACUGGGCGUAAAGCGCACGUAGGCGGCUUGGUAAGUUAGAGGUGAAAGCCUGGAGCUCAACUCCAGAAUUGCCUUUAAGACUGCCGAGCUAGCAGGUGAGAGAGGUGAGUGGAAUUCCGAGUGUAGAGGUGAAAUUCGUAGAUAUUCGGAAGAACACCAGUGGCGAAGGCGGCUCACUGGCUCAUACUGGACGCUGAGGUGCGAAAGCGUGGGGAGCAAACAGG
rnacentral:rRNA from 1 species